rnacentral:rRNA from 1 species
GCGUGCUUAACACAUGCAAGUCGAACGAUGAACCUCACUUGUGGGGGGAUUAGUGGCGAACGGGUGAGUAACACGUGAGUAACCUGCCCUUAACUCUGGGAUAAGCCUGGGAAACUGGGUCUAAUACCGGAUAUGACUCCUCAUCGCAUGGUGGGGGGUGGAAAGCUUUUUGUGGUUUUGGAUGGACUCGCGGCCUAUCAGCUUGUUGGUGAGGUAAUGGCUUACCAAGGCGACGACGGGUAGCCGGCCUGAGAGGGUGACCGGCCACACUGGGACUGAGACACGGCCCAGACUCCUACGGGAGGCAGCAGUGGGGAAUAUUGCACAAUGGGCGCAAGCCUGAUGCAGCGACGCCGCGUGAGGGAUGACGGCCUUCGGGUUGUAAACCUCUUUCAGUAGGGAAGAAGCGAAAGUGACGGUACCUGCAGAAGAAGCGCCGGCUAACUACGUGCCAGCAGCCGCGGUAAUACGUAGGGCGCAAGCGUUAUCCGGAAUUAUUGGGCGUAAAGAGCUCGUAGGCGGUUUGUCGCGUCUGCCGUGAAAGUCCGGGGCUCAACUCCGGAUCUGCGGUGGGUACGGGCAGACUAGAGUGAUGUAGGGGAGACUGGAAUUCCUGGUGUAGCGGUGAAAUGCGCAGAUAUCAGGAGGAACACCGAUGGCGAAGGCAGGUCUCUGGGCAUUAACUGACGCUGAGGAGCGAAAGCAUGGGGAGCGAACAGGAUUAYAUACCCUGGUAGUCCAUGCCGUAAACGUUGGGCACUAGGUGUGGGGGACAUUCCACGUUUUCCGCGCCGUAGCUAACGCAUUAAGUGCCCCGCCUGGGGAGUACGGCCGCAAGGCU